rnacentral:rRNA from 1 species
AACGAACGCUGGCGGCAUGCCUAACACAUGCAAGUCGAACGAGACCUUCGGGUCUAGUGGCGCACGGGUGCGUAACGCGUGGGAACCUGCCCUUAGGUUCGGAAUAACUCCCCGAAAGGGGUGCUAAUACCGGAUAAUGUCUUCGGACCAAAGAUUUAUCGCCUUUGGAUGGGCCCGCGUUGGAUUAGCUAGUUGGUAGGGUAAAAGCCUACCAAGGCGACGAUCCACAGCUGGUCUGAGAGGAUGAUCAGCCACACUGGGACUGAGACACGGCCCAGACUCCGACGGGAGGCAGCAGUGGGGAAUAUUGGACAAUGGGCGAAAGCCUGAUCCAGCAAUGCCGCGUGAGUGAUGAAGGCCUUAGGGUUGUAAAGCUCUUUUACCCGGGAUGAUAAUGACAGUACCGGGAGAAUAAGCUCCGGCUAACUCCGU